CUCCAGCUGAGUUUCCUCUCUUGUUGCUCCUGAAAAGUUUCCUUCCUGCAGCAGCAGAAAAUGAAAAUCCUGCAGCCUCUGAUCUUCCUCACCAUCCUCAUCCUCACCAGCCAGCUCGAGUUGAAGGACGAGACGACGGCCCUGGGAGGACUGGGAGAACUGGGAGAACUGGGAGGACUGGGAG